GGGUCCCCUGCCCCUGCCUGCAGACACUCCUCCGACCGCGGACCUAGCUGGCCCUCCCUCUCCUUGCCUUCAUCGUGAACGAAAAAUCCUACCUAGAAUGGGAGAUGCUAAUACACAAUGAUCGGAAAGAAUUCAAUUUUGUGUAUCCCUUUGUAAUUCCAAGUAUGAAUUGCAGGUCUAAUGAUCUCUCUCUGGCCCAAGGAAUUCCCCAAUUUUCUAAAGCUUUAAAACCUACACUACUUUAUUUUACAUCCCUUCUAAAUAUGUCAAAUUCGUCUCUUGUGAGUUCAUGAAAUAUUCGCCAAGAAUUUGCUCAAGCUGGGUAAGACGUAAGCCCAUCGAAUUCAGGGAAGGGAUGUUUCUAGCUGGCUUUCUGUAUCUGCGGAACCCUAGCAAUUCUAAACGUAGCAUUUAUUCGGGAAGAGAGAGCAUGUAAAGGAAAAAUAUUGCACAUUUCAAACAAAAGCAAAGUUUGUCUUAGUGUUGUUGUUUUUUUUAAUUGUGGCUUUUGGAUACUGACUUCGUGCUUUUAGCUGUACACUAACCGUGUAAUUAUAGGUGAU
rnacentral:lncRNA from 1 species